rnacentral:misc_RNA from 1 species
CCUAUAAUGCUUUGAGUAAUCAGCCUCCUAGACAGCAAAGAGACAAAGAAUUUCUAGAGAAGACUAUUUUAAAGACUCUAGAAGCGGGUGGAAAUGUAUUACUUCCUGUUGAUAGUGCUGGGCGAGUGCUGGAGCUUAUCUUAAUAAUGGAACAGUUCUGGGCACAACGUCUCUUGAACUAUCCAAUAUUCUUUCUGACAUAUGUUGCAUCAAGUACCA